rnacentral:rRNA from 1 species
AACAAACGCUGGCGGCGUGCCUAAUACAUGCAAGUCGAACGGGGAAAGCUUUCGGGUGAGUACUAGUGGCGCACGGGUGAGGAACGCGUGGAUAAUCUGCCUUAGAGUGGGGGAUAACUAGUCGAAAGAUUAGCUAAUACCGCAUAAGACCACAGGAGCUGCGGCUCUAGGGGUCAAAGGUUUUUCGCUCUAAGAUGAGUCCGCGUAAGAUUAGCUAGUUGGUGAGGUAACGGCUCACCAAGGCGACGAUCUUUAACUGGUCUGAGAGGAUGAUCAGUCACACUGGAACUGAGACACGGUCCAGACUCCUACGGGAGGCAGCAGUAGGGAAUAUUGCACAAUGGAGGAAACUCUGAUGCAGCGACGCCGCGUGAGUGAUGAAGGCCUCCGGGUCGUAAAGCUCUGUCGCAGGGGAAUAACACAAUGAAUGUACCCUGUAAGAAAGGAUCGGCUAACUUCGUGCCAGCAGCCGCGGUAACAC